rnacentral:tRNA from 1 species
GUUUUAUUAUUUCGAAAUUAGAAAACUCCCUACCAAGAAUUAGUGGAAUAUUUAAUAAAAUU